UAGGCUUGUAAAAAUUUAAACUUUAUUUUGUUUUAAUUAUAAUUUUUUUAGAUAAUUUUAAUAAUUAUAGGUUAAAUUUUAAUUAUUAUAGAUGUAUAAAUUGUAAUUUUAAAUUUUGGGAAUCGAAUUAGAUUAGUACCUAAUUAGUCAAAAAUUAAAAGAGCAGGAGUAAAGUGGUAUUUAAACUGAAAGAAUAUUGGCAGAUUUUCUAAAUUAUCUUUGGAGGUUGAGUAAUAAUUGAGAACCCUCAUUAACUACUUUUAAAGUUAGUCUCAUGUAUGAUCGUUUAUUUUAUACUUAAGGUAUAUAAUAAAAAAUUUUUAUUUGUAAAAAUAGAUAUAUAUUUGGUUUAUGUAAAAGUAAAAUUUGACCUACAAUAAUUUGUGUUGUGGAUUUAUUUGUAUUUAUAAUGAAAAUGUAAAAGACAGUAAAAAAAUUUUUAUGAUUUUUUGAAGAUUAUUUAGAUGUGGC
rnacentral:rRNA from 1 species